AACUAUACAACCUACUACCUCA
rnacentral:miRNA from 2 species